GUCAGGCCCGAGCGGUCUAAGGCGCUGCGCUCAGGUCGCAGUCCACCUCCGUGGGCGUGGGAUCGAAUCCCACUCCUGACA